rnacentral:rRNA from 1 species
AACGCGAAGAACCUUACCUGCCCUUGACAUCCUCGGAACUUGUCAGAGAUGACUUGGCGCCUUCGGGAACCGAGUGACAGGUGCUGCAUGGCUGUCGUCAGCUCGUGUCGUGAGAUGUUGGGUUAAGUCCCGCAACGAGCGCAACCCUUGUCCCUAGUUGCCAGCGGUUCGGCCGGGAACUCUAGGGAGACUGCCAGCGACAAGCUGGAGGAAGGCGGGGACGACGUCAAGUCAUCAUGGCCCUUAUGGGCAGGGCUACACACGUGCUACAAUGGCCGGUACAGGGGGUUGCCAACCCGCAAGGGGGAGCCAAUCCCAGAAAGCCGGUCGUAGUCCGGAUCGGAGUCUGCAACUCGACUCCGCGAAGUCGGAAUCGCUAGUAAUCGCGAAUCAGCAUUGUCGCGGUGAAUACGUUCCCGGGUCUUGUACACACGC